UUUUUUGAAUAAGAAUGAUGAUUAUAUAUUAAGAGGAUCAAAAAACAAAACAUUCUGAAUAAUUGCUGGAGGGACAGGACCCCACUCCAUCAAACCAAACAAAGAAUUAGCCCUUGACAACAAAUGGGCACAAGGGUUCACUGAUUUUUUUAGCAAAUAGCAAAGCUAUAGCACUGAACUCUUUAAGAAGAGUUCUACACUCAUUAAGCAAAAUACCAAAACAGGAACAAUCAGAAACUAAAGUGCAUAAAGCUUGGAUGACCACCAGACAGUCACUCUCAACUUCCAAACUUUCCAACAAACCUUUAUUCUUUAACCAGCUUAAGGCCUCACGGAAACUCAACAACUCAGCCAUAGUUGCAUUCAUGACACCUUCCAUAACCAUGCUGCCACCUCCCUUUCAUCGACCUUGUCAUCCUACAACAGCCACCUAAACCUACUCUAUGCGGUACAACAUCCUAUGCUGUAUCGAAAUUAAGUUUACAUAGGCCCACUUUCGAAGCACACCACUUCACAGGAAAUGCCAACUGACCUUGAAAGCCUCCAUGGUGCUAACUUGUCUGCGCCAUUUGCCAUUCAUCCAUGAUAUGCCUAGCUCUUCUUAUAAUGAUCGAGGAUGGAACCUGUUUUUGAGCCCAUACCAUCUGAUUUUGAUUCCACCACAACUCCCAUGCUAAAGUAAAUGCUAGGCCCCAUUUGUCCUUAGACACAUUAAUGAGAAUCGACUCCAACCACCCAGAUACAGAAGUAACUCUCGUUCACCACCCCAGGUUAGAUUGGCUCCAUGUGGCUUGAGCUAUUGGACAUAAUCAGACAACAUUAAGUGUCGUCUCCUCAUCCACCCCACACAAAGGGCAUGUAGUGUUCAUGUCUACAUGGAGAGCUUUCAAAUAUACCAGGACAGGCAGACAUCCUGACACCACCCUCCAAACAAAAUUUCUGAUCUUUCCAGCUAUACCACAGCUCCACACAGCCUUCCAAAGCCGUUCAUGAAUAGGAGAAUGAUAAUUUUUCUCCCUAUAUAGAAUCUGAUAAUCGCUUCGAAUAGAAUAGCUACCUUUCGUUCCCCACCACCAAAACUAGGACUAUUCAAAAUCCAUAGCACUCAACAGAAUUUGUCUAAUAAUAUUACACUCAUGAGGAGAGAACAACAUUGACAGAGCUUCAUUGUCCCAUAUCCAUCGCCCAUGGCUAAACAGGUUCGAAACCAUCAUGUCUUCUAUACUUGUGUUGUUCGAUGAUUGCACAUAGGGAGCAGUUAUAUUGAUUCUUUAAACAUUCUGUGGAUACAGUGAAUGGCAUUGAUUCUUUGAGACAUGAUAUAACACUAACUUGAAGAAAAUUACAAGUAUAAUUCAUGAGGACCCUCCGAUGAUUGUUGAUUUGGAUUCCAUUAAAGACGACAGUGUUUAUGUCGGUUGCAAUUACUUUGGUUUCAAUUUUGUGGUCAAGGAGGAAGCACUUGACGUGUGAUGAUCACGAGUAUCCGACACCGUUUUGGUACCAGAUCUUUUUUCUUUUUUUUGCCCCUUUCGUCCUCAAUAAGUCACUGUAAUGUCUUAUGUUACAGUUCCCUCUCUGGACACAGCCGUAAUAUGUAAUUUAACGUGGCUGUCUUUGUUUGUUUCUUGCUUUUUUUUGGGAAAUAUAAUUGGAAUAUAUGUUGCUUAUAAGCUACAUCUCAUUUAUCAGAUAUUAAAUAAACAAAAAAAUUUUACUCUUGGGUACAAGACCAAGAAUUGUUAUAAGAAGACUUUCAGUAACUUCAUAAAUAACAAAGUCUGUUCUCCCGUUACUGUUGCACGUUUUGGGUAAAACAAGGACCUUUCCGGUGGAUGAUGAAAUUACACUGACUGCACUGCAGAGCCAAGUCCUCGUCAAAAGGCUCAGCGCAGUGAUCACAUGGCGGGUAGAACUUUCUCUUCUUGACCAAGAUAAAAGGUUUCUGGACUAAAGUGAGACCAUGUGAAUGGAUUCCACUAAGUGAAUAAGCACUACUUCUGUCAAACUUGAUAUAUGGGUACCUUCCAAGAACACAUUCAGGGUGAAUAGAAAUGUCACAUUCUUCACACCCAUAAAACCAGGGUGCAUAGUUGAAGACAUAAGUCCCAGGGUCUAUUCUCAUCUCGCAUACCUCACAGUAAUGGUCAAACGACCUGUCGCUAACAAAAUCAUAUGUAAGCUUAAGAGGAUGCUUCUCAUCAAAUCUGUGUCUAACUGAGAUUGGUAGAGUAGCACAUUUAAAGUCUAAACAGAAGUUGCAAUCUUCACACUCAAAAUAGCUGAACUUGGUUUCAUAGCAAGCACUGCAAUGACAGCUAUAUGUCACGGGCAUAGAGUCUCGCGCAGCACUGCGCUUGUGCGGCGCCCCGAGAGCCCUCCCGCUUGGCUCCGAGGCAAGCCUUGCCAUAUCGUACCGAACUGGUUUUGCCCUGCCAUGGGCUCAUCAGGAGAGCGGCCCAGCUCUCGACCAGUUGUGCCCGAGCGGAACACUACCCCGCCUGCAUGCAGACUUUGCAUGGGGUAAUGGACCACUGGGGCAGAACGCCUUAAUCCGCUAAGCCGCCCCAACCCACGCAGGUUGAAACGCAGCUAGGUACGCUCUUCACAUGCGGCCUUACACGGUUACGGAAUUUGUCCGUAACAUAUAGCUUCUUUUGCUGAGUACUAGGCGAAGAAGGUGGUCAUGCCCAUGGUGCUUAAGAGUUGAUAUAAUAGCAUAACAUCUAAUAUCAAGGUAGAAAUCACAUUUCUCACAAUGGUAGCAAAAUCCAUGGCAAUAUUGCUCACAAGCAUUACAUUUGAACAACCCAUCAAAGCUAUAUGCUUUUAAGAGAAGAGUAAGCGAGUGCCGGUGAAGUGGGUGUUUUAUCUUAGUAGACAAUUCAGAGCAUUCCUUGUGCAGAAACAUGUCACAUUAUAGACAACCAUAGGUUAUUGAAGCAGACGACAAUGGUAACAUACACCCAACACAACGUUUCUUGUUGUUAACCUGAUCAAUAAUGGCCAAACCAUGUUCAUGACUAAACUGUUUGUUCUCUGCAACUAGUUGUUCGUCUGCAUCAUCAUCACUAGUUGAUUUUAUAGAUAAAUCUCCAAGAGCAUCAGUACCAAGUUUGUGAGUUUCAUCUUCAACCCCAAUUAAAUGUUUUCUUGCGCAAUCGACAUGAACAACAUAAUCGCAGAGAGAACAAUAAUAACCACCAUGGUCUAAGUUCAUUUCAAUUUGACAAAUUCCACAAGAUUGAUCUGUGGAUUCACUAUUCUGAAGGAAAUAGAAGUGGGUUAUUACAUGUUUAUGCUCUGUUAUUCUAAUAGCUUUAGGUCGUGAAAUGCAUUCUUUAUGAACCAUAAUUUGACACAUAAUACAGAUAUAAGGAGAUUGAGUCCCUUCGUUCCCACAAGCAUCACAAGUGAAAUUAAUUGACUUCAACAAGUGAAAGAAUUGAUGCUCGUAAUUACCUGUAGGUGUACCAGAAACACAUGGCUUCA
rnacentral:lncRNA from 1 species